CGGACGGGUGAGUAAUGUAUGGGGAUCUGCCUGAUGGCGGGGGAUAACUACUGGAAACGGUAGCUAAUACCGCAUAAUGUCUACGGACCAAAGCGGGGGACCUCCGGGCCUCGCGCCAUCAGAUGAACCCAUAUGGGAUUAGCUAGUAGGUGAGGUAACGGCUUACCUAGGCGACGAUCCCUAGCUGGUCCGAGAGGAUGAUCAGCCACACUGGGACUGAGACACGGCCCAG
rnacentral:rRNA from 1 species